rnacentral:lncRNA from 1 species
AGAGAGAGAGAGAGAGAGAGAGAGAGAGAGAGAGAGAGCGGAGAAGAGAGAGAGACGAGAGAGAGACUGCCCCGAAGAUUCACGCGAGAUGGGAUGAGGAAACACAAAGCCCAGAUCGCCGCGUCCGGGAAGACGGUAGCUGGAAAGGCUCUCGUUGCUUCGUCCAGAGACCGCGUACGCUGGUAGAAAUUCUCGCGAGCAGGAAUUGAGGCCGAGAGAUGGCGAGAAGGUAGGGGGCCAGAGAGAGAGAGAGAGAGAAAAGAAAUACUU